GAUCCCACCUCAUAAGCUUCUCAUUACCAGUCUAGCCUGUGCUUCGUGAAGAAAUAUUAACAGUAGAAGAAUAUAGUACACAAUGAUAAGACGAUUCCCAAUAAUUUUUCUCCUGCUCCUCGUAAUUUGCGCAACCUAUCAAAACCCAACACAGGAUGUACUCGUCUCCUGUGAUGGAACUGACUGCAUUGAAACUUGUAAGAAGUAUGACGGUUCCUUAAUGGAAGGAACACGAAAUGUUCUUUGUGCUCAUGGCGUCGAUCUUGUGAAUGCGGUCUGUCUUUGCAAGGUGUCCUCCUUAGAGAAGAUUCCGUUGCCAAGAUUUUAAACGGUGCCAUUGUAUCAUGAAAGAUAAAUCGGAUUUAUAACAAUCUUAAGGCAGGCUUAUGAAAAUUAACGUACCUUUGGCUUUAAACUCAUUCCUGUUACACGUAUGUAAUUGAUUAAAGUUCAAGUAAUAAUUUUUUAAACAUGCGAACUAUAAAAUUGGUUGGGAAAUUAUGCAAAUUAAAAAUUAAUAUUAAUUUGUGAGUUAAUUAAUUCACGCUCAAAUUAAAAUGCUACCUUUUCCAGAUCAUUAUUGAUAUCCGUAAUUCUGAGUUAAUAAAGUUAACUACUUAAAAAAUAA